UCCGGUUUGUCACCGGCAGUCUCGCGUGAGUCCCCAACUUAAUGCUGGCAACACGCGACAAGGGUUGCGCUCGUUGCGGGACUUAACCCAACAUCUCACGACACGAGCUGACGACAGCCAUGCAGCAUCUGUGGUGCACCCUCGAAGGUCACACGUUUCCGUGCGCUUGCAGCACCAUGUCAAGUCCAGGUAAGGUGGGGAUGACGUGCCAGUAUCGGAA
rnacentral:misc_RNA from 1 species